CCACUGUGUUAUGUAUUUUUGUGUGUGUGUGUGUGUGUGUGUGUGUGUGAAAAUGUGGACAGCUCGGUGCAAUUGUGUAUUUUAUUUAUGUGGUUGUGAUUUGCUGUAUGCUCGUAGUGGUAAUAUCUCAGUUAUCGCAUUUAUAUGGCUUUUUCUAAACAAUGUUAGGGUGAUGACUUCAUGGAAGUGGAAGGAACAGGAGAGGAAGACAUCUGGCAAUGGUCAUGACAGUUGUCCGUCAGGAAUCUAAGGGUGGUGAGCACGCGUAAGGAAUUGACAUAUCUCAAUACAACUUAGACCUGCCUGUUGCACAUGAGAUGUGUGACUCUACUUACACACACAAGCUUCUGCAGCAUUUUGGGAAAAAUAUAGUGAUGGCAAGAUUACCUGUGUUGUACUGCCAGACCAUCUGCUAUUGGAGUUCCAUGUCCCAGUUAUUAUAUAUAAUAGCUGUUUGAGGUUAUUACAUAUUUAUUAUGCAAGUUUUGUGCCUGUAAGUUCCUGUAAAUGUGCUCUGCGGUGAUCAUGCUGGACAGAGAGCUAUGCCUGUAUAAUAACAGUGACUAAUGUUCUCCUGCCCAUAAACCUAUUCCUAGGGUACAUCUGCACCCUUGGAAGUCACCGGAGAGGCAUGUUCGCUUAGCGCAAUUGGUAAGGGCCCUGGAUCGAUAAUACAGAAGAUGUGGGUUCAAGUCCUACUAGUGGCUAACCUUUCCAGUGACUGCCUUCUUUCAUCAUUCAUUUCUUAGGCACUUGAUGCUUUGUAUGUAUUUGCCUUUUCUAUGUGUUCCAGUCUCAGAACAUCAACUGUCAUGUUCAAAAGAACUGGAAUAUGCCUCUGCAAUCUGGAACCCAUCCCAACAUCUCUUAAUCGACAAUGUAGAAUUUGUACAGAACCGCACGGUUUGUUGCUCGUGAUUAUCAUCCUUUUUCCAGCGUCUCAGCCAUUAAAGCCAAACUCUUUCUUACUCCUUUGAUUACCAGAUGAAAGGUAUCAGGCCUGGCAUUCUUUCAUAAGUUAUAUUACAGUCACACUCCUCCCCACCCCACUUACUGUCAAUCCCCUCACAAGUUACUUCCAAGACUUGAUGACUCGCACAAAGUACUUGCUCCACCUACACAAACAAAAAAAUUCCUCUACUCUCCGCACCAGCUGAUGGUGUCAAACUGGAAUGACGUUCCUGCCCACAUAGCAUCAGAACAAAAUGUAUCGUCAUUUAUUUCCAAGUGCUAUGAUCGUUUUCAGAUCGAAUGAAUUUCUUUGUGGUGAGUGAACGAAUUUUGUGUACAUCAUUUUGGUAUUUGUCUUUUUUGGAUAAAAAACCUCCCGCAUUUAUGUAAAUCCCUUCACAAGGGUCUUUAAGUAAGCAAAUGAAAUGAAGAACUUCGUGAUACUUUCAUAAUUGGAGCAUUUUUAAUGCAUAUUUUAAAACAGUGGCUGCUAAAAAUGUGUCAGACACCGUCAGGCUGCCGUCUGUAUCAGGUGAAUCAUGAUUUUUUCCCAGAAGCCCAAUAAUGUAUAACGCUGCAUCACAUAUGCUAUUUUGGAGCAAUCUCUGCAGACAUAUUAUGAAGAUAUUAUCUGAGUGCCACAAUAAAGUAUAUGAACCGCA